ensembl:snoRNA
UGGACAUUUAUUUUUAUACAGUUUCUUCUUAAGGUGAAGAUAACUCUUUAUAAAUGUCCUAGAGGAAUACAGUAGCUUUCUGUUCACCCUUUGCAAGUGAAAAGGGUGGAUCGUUCCACUACUGACAUUU